rnacentral:rRNA from 1 species
UCGUAACAAGGUCUCCGUUGGUGAACCAGCGGAGGGAUCAUUACUGAGUUUACGCUCUACAACCCUUUGUGAACAUACCUAUAACUGUUGCUUCGGCGGGUAGGGUCUCCGUGACCCUCCCGGCCUCCCGCCCCCGGGCGGGUCGGCGCCCGCCGGAGGAUAACCAAACUCUGAUUUAACGACGUUUCUUCUGAGUGGUACAAGCAAAUAAUCAAAACUUUUAACAACGGAUCUCUUGGUUCUGGCAUCGAUGAAGAACGCAGCGAAAUGCGAUAAGUAAUGUGAAUUGCAGAAUUCAGUGAAUCAUCGAAUCUUUGAACGCACAUUGCGCCCGCCAGCAUUCUGGCGGGCAUGCCUGUUCGAGCGUCAUUUCAACCCUCAAGCUCUGCUUGGUGUUGGGGCCCUACAGCUGAUGUAGGCCCUCAAAGGUAGUGGCGGACCCUCCCGGAGCCUCCUUUGCGUAGUAACUUUACGUCUCGCACUGGGAUCCGGAGGGACUCUUGCCGUAAAACCCCCCAAUUUUCCAAAGGUUGACCUCGGAUCAGGUAGGAAUACCCGCUGAACUUAAGCAUAUCAAUA